GGCAAACGAAACUUGGGCAUCUUGAUCGAUCAAGCUAAGCUUUUAAGCGUACAUACAAGUAACUUUGCAAUCAAGUGCUGUUUUUGUUUUUCCAGAUUCACUAAUUGCAUCUAAGGGCUACAAGAUCCCAUGCGCUAGCCAACGUCAAGGUUCAUAUUCAUUUUUAUUGUAUAGAUGGAACGAUAUUGUCUAUAUAUGGACACAAGACGGUACUCAUGUAAUAUUCUAUGAAGACAUGCUCGGACACUUGCAACAUGCCAUUGCUAAAUUAAUCCACUGCGGUAAGGUUGUUUCAGUUUAAUUUAGCAACACUUUGCAUGGUCUAGAUAGCCAAGGUUCUAAAUAAGCUAUUGCUUAUUUUCAUCAUUUCAAAAUGCUUUCGUGAAGCUUUUGUUCCCAUCUAUAAGAUCAAUCACCAUUUUCCCUUUAUUUUUUCCUUUACGAGGUCAGCUAUUUAAUUGAUGAUUCAUUAAACUCAAACAUGUAGUCAUGCGAGUGGCGACGGUGGUGAACAUUAGUCAGAUUGGGGCAGAAGAUGCCGAGCACAAGCAUGUGGCUUGCCCUUGAUUGAGUUGUCAACUCUGAUGAUUGGGGUGGUGUCUUCUGGUUGAACAAUGCCAACAUCGCACAAUGACUCGUCUCAGUUUCAUAUCACCUGUUGUUGUGAUGUCUCUAAAUACAUGUUGAUCUGAUGAGAUAAUAAUUUUUUGGUCAACUAUAAAAUAUUUGCUUCUCUUUACGGCAAUAAAGUUAUUCUCCUUUAUUUAGAGAGCACCAUAGGAGUUCAAAAUUACUUUGUCUAGAGGGAAUUGUCAGAAUCAACCUCCUAACUUUGCUUGCUU
rnacentral:lncRNA from 1 species